rnacentral:rRNA from 1 species
ACGGUCCUAAGGUAGCGAAAUUCCUUGUCGGGUAAGUUCCGACCCGCAUGAAAGGCGUAAUGAUUUGGGCACUGUCUCAACGAGGGGCCCGGUGAAAUUGAAAUACCUGUGAAGAUGCAGGUUACCCGCGACUGGACAGAAAGACCCCAUGGAGCUUCACUGCAGCUUGAGAUUGAAUCCCGGUGACAUAUGCACAGGAUAGGUGGGAGGCUAAGAAGUAAUGCCUUUGGGUGUUACAGAGCCGAUGUUGGGAUACCACCCUUAUGUUGCUGAGAUUCUAACACGGAGACUAACAACCUCGUGGACCAUCUCAGGCAGGCGGUUUGACUGGGGCGGUCGCCUCCUAAAAUGUAACGGAGGCGCCCAAAGGUUCCCUCAGGCCGGACAGAAACCGGCCGAAGAGUGCAAAGGCAGAAGGGAGCUUGACUGCGAGACAGACAAGUCGAGCAGAGACGAAAGUCGGGCUUAGUGAUCCGGUGGUACUGAGUGGAAAGGCCAUCGCUCAACGGAUAAAAGCUACCCUGGGGAUAACAGGCUAAUCUCUCCCAAGAGUUCAUAUCGACGGGGAGGUUUGGCACCUCGAUGUCGGCUCAUCACAUCCUGGAGCUGGAGUAGGUUCCAAGGGUUGGGCUGUUCGCCCAUUAAAGUGGUACGCGAGCUGGGUUCAAAACGUCGUGAGACAGUUUGGUUCAUAUCCAUCGCGGGCGCAAGAAGUUUGAGGGAGGCUGCUCCUAGUACGAGAGGACCGGAGUGGACGGAUCAACGGUGUACCAGUUGUCACGCCAGUGGCACGGCUGGAAAGCCGCAUCCGGAAAGGAUAAACGCUGAAAGCAUCUAAGCGUGAAGCCCGUCCCGAGAUGAGACUUCUCAUCAGCAAUGAGUAAGACCCCUUAAAGACGAUGAGGUUGAUAGGCUGUGAGUGGAAGUGGCGCAAGUCAUGGAGCGACGCAGUACUAAUAGGUCGAGGUCUUAGCUUA